rnacentral:lncRNA from 1 species
AUAGCUGUCCAAAAUACCCAAUAUACUAUAACCGACUCGGAUCCUAGCUCAACUUGAACCGAACCUGAUAAAAAAUGAAUAGUAUACGGAUAAAAGAUAUUAUCCAUUAAAGUUUGGGUAUAGAUCCAGAUACUUUAUAUCGAUAUCCGACUUGGAUCUGACCUGAAUCUGACCUUUUAAUGGGUAGGUCUGAAAGAGUUUCCAAAUCCAGACUAGGAACUAGACUCGAAUCUGAACCCGAUGAAAUAUUUGAUAGUAAAAAAAAAAAUGAAAAAUUCAAAUACCACCCCUAGGGUUUCGCACUUUUUCACUUUAGUAUCCAGCGGUUUAAAGUGUAUCAAUUUAGUACCCUAUGGUUUCGCACUUUCUCACUUUAGUAUCCUGUGGUUUAAAAUGCAUCACUUUAGUAUCCUGUGGUUUCAUUUUUCUCUUUUCGUCGGCUCCUCUGUUAAUAUUUCAUUAAAUUAUAUACAAAAAACUUCAGAUACCCUACCUAGGUUUAUCGAACAUUUACUUUACUAUCCUUUAGUUUUAAUUUUGUCACUGAUUUUUUUUCCUCCGUUAAUAUUUCGUUAAAUUAUAUACAAAAAAACUUCAGAUACUCUACCUAGGUUUAUUAAAUAUUCACUUUAGUACCCUUUAAUUUUAACUUUAUCACUGAUUUAACAAAAAAAAUUAGUGAAAUGGAUAAUAAAAAGAGAAAAAUGAAAUCGCAGGAUACUAACUUAAUACACUUUAAACCACAGGGUACUAAAGUGAGAAAGUGCGAAAUCACAGGGGCUAACUUGAUACACUUUAAACCACAAGAUACUAAAGUGAGAAAGUGUGAAACCACAUAGAGGUAUUUGAAGUUUACC